UAGGGAAUAUUGGACAAUGGGGGCAACCCUGAUCCAGCCAUGCCGCGUGAGUGAAGAAGGCCCUCGGGUUGUAAAGCUCUUUUGUCCGGAAAGAAAAGCAUUCGGUGAAUACCCGGAUGUUCUGACGGUACCGGAAGAAUAAGCACCGGCUAACUUCAUGCCAGCAGCCGCGGUAAUACGAAGGGUGCAAGCGUUACUCGGAAUUACUGGGCGUAAAGCGUGCGUAGGUGGUUGUUUAAGUCUGAUGUGAAAGCCCUGGGCUCAACCUGGGAAUGGCAUUGGAAACUGGGCAGCUAGAGUGCGGUAGAGGGUAGUGGAAUUCCCGGUGUAGCAGUGAAAUGCGUAGAGAUCGGGAGGAACAUCUGUGGCGAAGGCGACUGCCUGGACCAGCACUGACACUGAGGCGCGAAAGCGUGGGGAGCAAACA
rnacentral:rRNA from 1 species